AUUGAACGCUGGCGGCAUGCCUUACACAUGCAAGUCGAACGGCAGCACGGGAGCUUGCUCCUGGUGGCGAGUGGCGAACGGGUGAGUAAUACAUCGGAACGUAGCCAGUAGUGGGGGAUAACGCACCGAAAGGUGCGCUAAUACCGCAUACGACCUACGGGGGAAAGCGGGGGACCGUAAGGCCUCGCGCUAUUGGAGCCGCCGAUUGCUGAUUAGCUAGUUGGCGGGGUAAUAGCCCACCAAGGCGACGAUCAGUAGCUGGUCGGAGAGGACGAUCAGCCACACUGGGACUGAGACACGGCCCAGACUCCUACGGGAGGCAGCAGUGGGGAAUUUUGGACAAUGGGGGCAACCCUGAUCCAGCAAUGCCGCGUGAGUGAAGAGGGCCUUCGGGUUGUAAAGCUCUUUUGUCAGGGAAGAAACACCGGCUCUAACACAGUCCGGGAAUGACGGUACCUGAAGAAUAAGCACCGGCUAACUACGUGCCAGCAGCCGCAGUAA
rnacentral:rRNA from 1 species